CUCGGAUUACAGAGUCGUGGUUUGGUAACACAGACAAGUUGCAGUAACGGGGCUGUGAUAAUGGAAUCCGUUGCGGCCAAAGAAUUUCCCAUAGAGGAGGAGUACAAGAAGAAUCAUGGAGUGACGCCGGAAGAUGUGAUGGUGCUGAGGAAAUGGCUUCAGGCCCAACCUCAUCUACCCGAGCAGUAUAUUACAGAUCUGGACCUGGUGCUUGCGUACCAUAGCUGCAACAGGAGCACUGAAGUCACCAAGCAGACGCUUGACCUCAACUACACUUUCCGCACUAACGUCAACGACUACUUUCAGUCAAGAUCACUGGAUUCUAACAUGACGAAAAUGUUGAAUAAUACGU